AGAGUGAAUGGUUGUUUUGAAAGCAUCAUAGGGCAGGGAGCCAAAAAAAGAGAAUCAAAGGAAAAUGAUUUUAUAGUUGUUGCUAUUCCUAAGAAUAUCUGCAUUCUUGCCAGCAUUUGUGUUACACAGGAAGAUGUGGCUAGAAAUUCCUGAUCUCUGCACUGAGGGGCUGGUGGUCAUUUGGUGAGAUGUGCUUAUGAAUAGGACAGGCCUGUUCCAGGUGGCAUCGGUGGGGCUGCUCCAAGUCCUAGAACACUCAUAAUUCAAGGCUGUGCACUGCUUGUUUUGCACAUAAGACAGAUAUUGAAAUCCUGAUCUUGUGGUUACGAGGCAAGCAUUUGACCUGCUAAGCUAAAUUCCUGGCCCUAAUAUACCCGUGGUUUACUAUGCUGGCGUCCAUACCGUGUAAUCUCAAGAGAUGAAGCUGAAAGAGGUUCUACAGCCGUCUACUGAAAAACAUUUGGAAAUGAAGCCUUCAUGGUGACCUCAGCAGGCAGAGUGAAAUGGGGGAAUUAUGCACGGGCCCCACAUAGCCUCAGUUGGAAGUGGUAUCCAUUCUUUGCUGGAAAUAUUCAGAUGGCUUUGCUUAAAAGAACAAUGGUGUAGGGUAGGGGUUUAGCUCAGCAGAUACAAGUGCCUGCCUGGCAAGUGCAGGGUCAGGAGUUCAAUCCCCAGAACAAUGAUGUUGAGAAAUUCUGUCUUCUAUGUGGUUGAAAAGAGAGAACCAAAUUGGCCUUUCCUAGUAAUGUUUAUUUUAGUCAUUAAAAACUUCCCAUACCUUCAAUAUCUUCUGUUGUUCUUCAACUUCUUGCUCCAAAUAAAAUUUGGCUUUUUUGUGGCCAGUGCAUUCCCCUACUUAUUUUUUUUUUCUUAUUUAGAGAAAGAUAAAAGAGAAUGGGGGGAGAAUAGAAAACAGGCAGAAAUACUGUAUACUUUCAAAGAAAAGAAAUAAACAGUAAUAAAUCA